UCUCCCUCAUCCCACAAUACCAGUCCCCCCGCGGGCCCCGGUCCCAGAGAGGGGCAUGGCAAUAUCUCGGGAGUCGUGGUCGGGGGCGGUGUGGUCGGGGCGGAUGGAAAGCACAAAUACAAAGAGACUACCGCGGCAUCAGUAGGUUCGUAAUAUCCGCAAACAGACAGAUCCCGUACAGUAAAGGCAUCAAAGGCCGGGACAGAGGAGAGGUCCUCUGGCAUGGCACACAUUGUCCCGAACAUGCCACCCCCCCAAGUCCAUCGCCUCAGCACGCCGGAGGCAGGUCGGCCGCGGGUCGCGCUCUGACGUGCAGAAUAAACAGAGUGUCUGUACGCCCGGGAGGACCUCCAGCCAGGCGUUGUAGAACGUGUUGAUCACAUCGGGCUUGUCCCUGGCAGGAAUACAGAUGGCGUCAGACGCGUUGAAGGCAACACCGUGGCGGUAGAAGUUGUCAUAUAUUUCGGGGAAGGAAGGCACUAGUCGUAGGGCGAAGAGGAGAGCAGGGAGGAGAGCGGUGCACCGGUGAAGCAUGAUCUGUGGGAAGAGAGGGAGAGAGGCACCCUUACCAAGGGUGUAGGGUUAGUGUGUGUAGGAGCAGGUCUCCCUGGAACCGGUCCACCCGUUGCACUUCAUUUUUCACUUCU